AUUGAACGCUGGCGGCAGGCUUAACACAUGCAAGUCGAGCGAGCGGCGGACGGGUGAGUAAUGUCUGGGAAACUGCCUGAUGGAGGGGGAUAACUACUGGAAACGGUAGCUAAUACCGCAUACCAUCAGAUUUGCCCAGAUGGGAUUAGCUAGUAGGUGGGGUAAUGGCUCACCUAGGCGACGAUCCAUAGCUGGUCUGAGAGGAUGACGAGACACACUGGACCGGGGACACGGUCCGGAGUCCUCCGGGAGGCACAAGUGGGGAAUAUUGCACAAGGGGCGCAAGCCGGCUGCAGCCAUGCCGCGUGUGUGAAGAGGGCCUUCGGGUUGUAAGGCACGUUCAGCGAGGAGGCGUUACUCGCAGAAGAAGCACCGGCUAACUCCGUGCCAGCCGCCGCGGUAAUUC
rnacentral:rRNA from 1 species